AGUGAACGCUGGCGGUAGGCCUAACACAUGCAAGUCGAACGGCAGCACAGUAAGAGCUUGCUCUUACGGGUGGCGAGUGGCGGACGGGUGAGGAAUACAUCGGAAUCUACUUUUUCGUGGGGGAUAACGUAGGGAAACUUACGCUAAUACCGCAUACGACCUACGGGUGAAAGCAGGGGAUCUUCGGACCUUGCGCGAUUGAAUGAGCCGAUGUCGGAUUAGCUAGUUGGCGGGGUAAAGGCCUACCAAGGCGACGAUCCGUAGCUGGUCUGAGAGGAUGAUCAGCCACACUAGAACUGGGCCACGGUCCAGACUCCUGCGGUAGGCAACAGUGGCGAAUAUUGGACAAUGGGCGCAAGCAUGAUCCAGCCAUACCGCGUGUGUGAAGGAGACCUUCGGGUUGUAAAGCCCUUUUGUUGGGAAAGAAAAGCAGCAGGUUGAUACCCCGCUGUUCUGACGGUACCGAAAGAAUAAGCACCGGCUAACUUCGUG
rnacentral:rRNA from 1 species